UACGAAGGGGGCUAGCGUUGUUCGGAAUCACUGGGCGUAAAGGGCGCGUAGGCGGCUUUAUAAGUCGGGGGUGAAAGCCUGUGGCUCAACCACAGAAUUGCCUUCGAUACUGUAGAGCUUGAGACCGGAAGAGGUAAGUGGAACUGCGAGUGUAGAGGUGAAAUUCGUAGAUAUUCGCAAGAACACCAGUGGCGAAGGCGGCUUACUGGUCCGGUACUGACGCUGAGGUGCGAAAGCGUGGGGAGCAAACAGGG
rnacentral:rRNA from 1 species